rnacentral:lncRNA from 1 species
UACAGUGCGAAAAAGAGGCAUGUGACCAGAGUCCAUUUCUGCAUGGGACAGUCUGCAUUUGUCAUGUGAAGAUCACACCUAAAAAAGGUACCUGAGCCCUGUUCCUACUGGAAACCACGCUGACGAGUCUGCAGCCCUCAGUCUGGGCUCAGUUUGUGGUUUGGUUUAUGAUUCACUGAGUCACUAUACAGAAGUGCCCCCUCCCCCCGUUUCCUCAUCUGCAACCAGAAAUAACAACAUUGAUCUUUACAAAGCAACCUGAAACAUAUAAAUGAAAACUACUUGGUAAGAAAUACUAUCGGUAGAGAAAGGCAGCGAUGACAUGCUUCAGAGCAGUCCAUAAAUGUUUGCAGCAGAUUUCUUGGUAAAACCGGAGCACAUCACUUGUGGCCACCCAGGUUCUAUCAGUGACUGACUUUACGAGGAUGAAGAUCUGCCUGUAAAUGAACCCAUAAAUUAAUCCUUUUUGGUGACGAUUUAAAUCUAUGCAUCUUCAGACCAGGCUGUGUUUGAGCUGGCACAGUCUGUGCAGGGGGAUAAUUACUUCCUAAUUUCUUUCAAGACUUUUACAAUGCAACAAGUUAAUCAGCUACUACGGGGUUGUGUAAUAAGAUGGAUUUAUCUGGCUGUUCCCUAAUACGUUAAUCAGAACAUGGGAUUUCCACAUGCAGCUGUGCUCAUAAUAUGCCACUCCAGCAAAACUCUUCUGCUCAUGCCUGUCUCUGCUUUGCCACAUGGACAACAACUCCAGGAUGAGGGCCUGAGCUGGCAUCUUUGAUCCAGCAUUUUGGUCGAGUCUGAAACUGCUGUGAAGGGUGAAAAAAAAGAAAAAAAAGAAAAAAGGAGGUCAGACCAAAAAAUGGUGAGAUUCUUACACAAUCACUUCUGCUACUUUAGAGAAAACACCAGCAACUGAGACUCACAAGAGACAGCAACCUCAAGAGACUGACUCAUCCAAGUCUGGCAUGGGCAGCCAGCAGAAAAGCCAUGAUUAAAAAUGAGGUGUUUCCUGACCUUGCAGCGCUCAUUUUUUUUCCAGUUACUGCCUCAUCCUGCGUAGACAAGAAAGAACACGAGGCACCUUUCUGGGAACGUGAACGAGAUCCCAACUGCAUACUUUCCCUGGGUUAUAUCCUUCCCCAGAGCAGAAGGGGCUUCAUUUCAACAGGGUGCACUCAUAAUUUGUCAGAGACACUACCUAAUAGUUAAAUUUUACUAUAACUGUCCUAACUCAAAUUUAAGCAGUACAAGAAAGGAGAUGUCAGCCACUCUGUUAAGACAGUCCAAAUUAAUGAGGAAAGAGGAAAAAGUUCUGUAUUUUCAAACUCUUUUCC